GAAAUAAAUCUGGCGGGUUGCUGCUGGUUCUCUAGGGAGCAUGUGCACACUUGUCAUCUUUAUAUCUCCACCUGUGCACCUUUUGUAGACCUGGAUCUCUCUCUGAAUGCUAGCCAUUCAGGAUUGAGGAUUGACUUCAUGUCUCUCCUUCCAUUUCCAGGCCUAUGUUUCUUCAUAUACUCUAAUGUAUGUUAAAGAAUGUAAUCAAUGGCCUUUGUGCCUAUAAACCUAUACAACUUUCAGCAACGGAUCUCUUGGCUCU
rnacentral:misc_RNA from 1 species